CUGUAGGACACCUAGACACAGCUCACUCUGUCUAAGUUCCGAGGCUUUGGGGGGUCAUUCUUAGGCUUAAGUUAUCUGUAAAGCUGUCCAAAGUUAAGUUUUUAACAGUACAAAUAGGGGGGAGUGACAGCCUGCAUUGCUCAAUCAUCUCUUACCGUUACUUCAAGUUUAUUCUAAAAACUGGCAUUGUAGAAUGCUCUAAAAACUCAUCCUGGCUGAGAUGCUCAUCCAUGAAAGGAUACAACACAUUCUUCAACUCCUCAUCACUGUCUUCUUGUGCCAUUCACUACCAUGGCACAAAACUUCCAUCUGAAGCCAGGCAAUGAGGACACACGCCUUUAAUCCCAGCACUCGGGAGGCAGAGGCAGGCGGAUCUCUGAGUUCGAGGCCAGCCUGGUCUACAGAGUGAGUUCCAGGACAACUAGGGCUGCACAGAGAAACCCUGUCUCAAACAAAACAAACAAACAAACUUCCAUCUGUACCAACACAUGAUAUGAGAGUGACUUUCAGUUCUCCUGCACUCUUAAAGCAAAGCAAGAAGAAAAACUUGUGUUCACACACACACACACACACACACACACACACACACACACGUGAGGUUUUUUUAUACUAUAGUUUGCAUUACUACCCAGCAGUUCCCUGCUCACUAAAUGACUAUUGAAAAGUUUUGUUGGGACUGACAAAGCACAUGCUUAGCAUGCAUAAAACCU
rnacentral:lncRNA from 1 species